rnacentral:pre_miRNA from 1 species
AAUAAGUGCAGCCGUGGAUAUCCGUGCCCAACGUUUGACCGUCCGUCUUAUUUGAAAAAUUUGUGAAAAAUUUAAAAAUAUUUAGUCACACAUAAAGUACUAUUCAUGUUUUAUCAUCUAAUAGCAAUAAAAAUACUAAUCAUAAAAAAAUUUCAAAUAAAACGAACGGUCAAACGUUGAACGUAAAUAGUGCAAAACUGCACUUAUU